CUCGGAGGGAAUAUGCUGCGUUUCCUCCUGUUCUUUAUCAAAGUCCCCAAAAUAAGCUGGAAUGGGCAAUGACUUUGCACAGUCUCUGCACACUUUUUCCACUUACUAAUUAGGGCCUGCCUCACAGAGAGAGAAAACACGCUGCCUGGCUCUGCAAGGGAAUGCCCAUGCUACAGAUUACAAGUAUGAAGCUGCUUGGAGCUGCCCUCCUCUCCCUGGCCGUGUUCAGCAUCUGCACUGCAAAUGACGUUACAAGCUGCUCAGGGACCAUGCUAUGAACAUGCUGCCCAGGCUUGAGAAUUCCAUAGCCAUAGGUCACAUGGCUGCAUUUAGUGGCAGGGGAACACAAACAAGAGAAGCUUGAGUGAGGAAGUUGCUGCCCUGUAAGCAUGAGAUGCUCCCACCGCUGGCUAUAUUAGGGAUUACUGCUGACGCGGGGAGGACAGCAAAAGAAAAGUCAUCUAUGACUCCAACAUCCAACAACAUUCAGUCGACUCCAGGAUACACACUCCAGUUCAGUACUCCAACAACCAAGAACAUUCAGUCCACUCCAGUUUCCAGUGAUUCAACCAUUACUACAAACAGUAGUACAGAUGUCUCAGUUGCUUCAAAUGUUACCUGGGAACCAGUUUCCCAGACCAACUCUUCACAACAACCAACACAGGUCACUACAUCACCAUCAUCAAUAAGAGAAGAAAAUGACAAAACUAGUAGUGCAGGGAAAACUGAAUCACUGCCAGCGAGUUCUGUGAUGGCAGCAUCAGACUCCACUUGGAUGAUGUCUGAUCUGACUACCAGUGUAAUAACCUCAGAACACAGCAAGGGUCAUCAAACCACAUCUAAUGUUGAUGGGUCACCUCCAACUCCGGUAACAGGAACCAACGCAAUAGUCAUCAAGGCUGACACUAUAAGCCCACACAAGAAAUCAACAUCAACACCAAGUCAAGGCAAAUCUGGUAGCAAUGACAAACAAGCGGAUACUGACCAAUAUUCCAGUAUUAUUUUGCCAGUUGUGAUUGCCUUGAUCGUAAUAACCCUUUCUGUAUUCAUUCUGGUGGCUUUGUACAGAAUGUGCCAGAGGACAGCCCCAGAGAGACAAGAGAAUGGAACUGAACAAGCCCCAACAGAUAAAGAGGGUGUCAAACUUCUUUCUGUAAAGACAACUUCUCCUGAGACUGGUGAGCACAUCUUCCAGGGAAAGAAUAGAACUCACCAACCUGAUGAAUCCUCCUCACACCUGGGCAAUAAAUAUAUCCUGUAGAGUUAUGUUUACUUUCCAAAACAGAAAGUUCUUUAACCAAUCUCUCUUCUUCAAGAGCUCUCAUCUUUUUGAGAUGUGAAGCAGCCUCUUUUACCACGUUAUAAAGGAACUUCCCUCUGACGGUGCAGUUCCACAGAGGACAUGUGCAUCAGCUGCAGCUUCCUACAGAGAGGCAGGACACUUGUGUUAAUUGUUCUAUGAUUAGAUUUCCAUACUCUAAAUGCCUCGUGUUUUCUGCUGGACUCUUGUGUUUUCUUGAUGGCUACAUAACUGAUGUACUGUACAUAUUUAUUAUUUCUACAUAUAUCAAAGCAGAGAAACUUUCAGGAAUGAUAAAAGUAUUGUAAAAAUCUGGUGGUGUGACACUAAUAAUGAUGUCUUUCUUGUACAUAGAAAUGUUUUCUUCCCGUACAGGAAGGAAUAUGUUAAUAUAUUUUCUUGUACGCUCAAUAAAUAUUCUUCUUAAAUCAUA